GAACUCGGAGAUAGCUGGUUCUCCCCGAAAUAGCUUUAGGGCUAGCGUCGAGGUAAAGUCGUGUGAAGGUAGAGCACUGAAUAUGUGAUGGCCCCAUCUCGGGGUACUGAACAUAAUCAAACUCCGAAUGUCACAAAGAUAUACUCGGCAGUCAGACAGUGGGUGAUAAGGUCCAUUGUCAAAAGGGAAACAGCCCAGACCAUCAGCUAAGGUCCCAAAAUAUAUACUAAGUGGAAAAGGAUGUGGAGAUGUCCAGACAACUAGGAGGUUGGCUCAGAAGCAGCCAUCCUUUAAAGAGUGCGUAACAGCUCACUAGUCGAAUGACUCUGCGCCGAUAAUUUACCGGGGCUAAGUAUAUUACCGAAGCUAUGGAUUUACGCGUAAGCGUGAGUGGUAGGGGAGCGUUCUAUGUGCGGAGAAGCGGUACCGUAAGGAGCCGUGGAGCGCAUAGAAGAGAGAAUGCCGGUGUGAGUAGCGAAACGUGGGUGAGAAUCCCACGCACCGAAAACCCAAGGUUUCCAGAGGAAGGUUCGUCCGCUCUGGGUAAGUCGGGACCUAAGGCGAGGCCGAGAGGCGUAGUCGAUGGACAACAGGUAGAGAUUCCUGUACUUACGGUAUGAAUGAUGGAGUGACGGAGAAGGCUAGCGGAUCCUGCUGAUGGAAAUGCAGGUGCAAGCGAGGUAGCCGACAGCCAGGCAAAUCCGGCUGUCGAAAGGCAAAGGCGUGAGGCGUAUGGAAAGCUGCGGCAAGUACAGAAGUCCGUGAAGCCAGCUUCCAAGAAAAGCUUCUAGUGAUAAUCAUACAGUAACCCGUACCGAAAAUGGACACACAUGGGUGAGGAGAGAAUCCUAAGGUGAGCGAGAGAACUAUAGCUAAGGAACUCUGCAAAAUGACUCCGUAACUUAGGGAUAAGGAGUGCUCAUAGAGAUAUGAGCCGCAGUGAAACGGCCCAAGCGACUGUUUACCAAAAACACAGCUCUAUGCUAAGUCGAAAGACGACGUAUAUGGGGUGACGCCUGCCCGGUGCUGGAAGGUUAAGAGGAUGUGUCAGCGCAAGCGAAGCAUUGAAUUGAAGCCCCAGUAAACGGCGGCCGUAACUAUAACGGUCCUAAGGUAGCGAAAUUCCUUGUCAGGUAAGUUCUGACCCGCACGAAAGGCGUAACGAUUUGGGCGCUGUCUCAGCUGUAGACUCGGUGAAGUCUUAGUACCUGUGAAGAUGCAGGUUACCCGCGACUAGACGGAAAGACCCCAUGGAGCUUUACUGUAGCUUGAUAUUGGACUUUGAUGCAAGAUGUACAGGAUAGGUAGGAGACUGAGAGACAUGCACGCCAGUGUGUGAGGAGUCAAUGUUGGGAUACUACUCUUCUUGUAUUGGAGUUCUAACCGGAUGCCAUGGAACUGGCAACGGGACAGUGUCAGGUGGGCAGUUUGACUGGGGCGGUCGCCUCCCAAAGAGUAACGGAGGCGCCCAAAGAUACCCUCAGCUUGGAUGGAAAUCAAGCGCAGAGUGCAAAGGCAUAAGGGUGUUUGACUGCGAGACCUACAAGUCGAGCAGGGACGAAAGUCGGGCUUAGUGAUCCGGCGGUGCUGAAUGGAAAGGCCGUCGCUCAACGGAUAAAAGCUACCCUGGGGAUAACAGGCUGAUCUCCCCCAAGAGUUCACAUCGACGGGGAGGUUUGGCACCUCGAUGUCGGCUCAUCGCAUCCUGGAGCGGAAGUACGUUCCAAGGGUUGGGCUGUUCGCCCA
rnacentral:rRNA from 1 species